rnacentral:misc_RNA from 1 species
GGAGCUUCAUUUUACAUAGCCAUAACCCAAAGAUAUACACAAGAUAUUCUAUACAAACAUACAACAAAUUAAUAUGCAGCACAGCAGCAAAAUUUAUUACCAAGUUUCAAUAAUUUGCCUCACUCUCAGGUUUGCAAAGCUCAAAUAUGUCUUAGUGUGCUGUAAGAGGCACUCCUACUCUUUCAGUAACACUCUUGAUGUACUCCUUCCUUGCUGGAUGAUCUUCUUGUGGUCGAUUGUAAGGCGUCCACACCGGCUCUCCCACAAACAACCUCAUCAACUUGACAUAGUUAUCAGUAUCUAGGGUGAACCGGUGGUAAAUCCCAGCAGGCAAGACAAUCAUAUCACCGGCCUUCAUCCAGAUGCGAAUCCAGCGAUCAUCCUUGUCUCUCACAUCAAAAUAUCCACUCCCUUCCAGACAGUAACGUAUCUCCUCAUCUGCGUGUAUGUGCUCUGUAUAGAAAUUUUUCAACUUCUGCUCAUAGUUAUCCACCUUCUCUGGGCACAAAUCCAGCAAGUCCAUGUAGCUGUAGCCUCUACUUUGACGAAUUUUUUUCAAUUCUUCAUCGUUCUCGUAAUCAUCAGGGUUCAAUUUCCAGUAUAAAACUCCGAUUUCUGCUAAUUUCUCCACUGAAACAAACUCCGGUGGGUUCUUCCGUUGCGGUAGCCGCUGAUCUUCUGAAUUUUCAUCCAUAAACCAUGCCUCGAU